rnacentral:rRNA from 1 species
UACGGGGGGAGCAAGCGUUGUUCGGAUUUACUGGGCGUAAAGGGCGCGUAGGCGGCGCAACAAGUCACUUGUGAAAUCUCCGGGCUUAACCGCGGGACUGCAGUCGAUACGGGCAGGCUAGAGUUCGGUAGGGGAGACUGGAAUUCCUGGUGUAGCGGUGAAAUGCGCAGAUAUCAGGAGGAACACCGAUGGCGAAGGCAGAUCUCUGGGCCGAUACUGACGUGAGGAGCGAAAGCGUGGGGAGCGAACAGGAUUAG